AUGAAAAGUCUUUCUCCAACUCCCUCCUCAUCUGCUCCUCCCUCAGCCGUUCUCAAUGAGCAUGCACUCUGGGCUAAACAUCUCAGAGGCGGAGCCUGACUGUGGGAUCCUGUAGUUUGAGUGGACGGGAUGGGGGUGUGGCCGGCUUUGAGGAUGAUCGUUCCUGGCUUCUUCUGGUGUGCACACAUGAGCUGCAUUAACAAUAUGGUGGCAAUGGAUCUGAAUUCUCAGGGGACUGCAGGUUUGCCCAUGACAUCAAUACCAGACCGGAUAGAAGACUACAAAAUACAACAAGAGGGGUCGUAGUCAAUGGAAGAAAGGGACAACAUUAAACUGAAAUGUCUAUGUAACUGUCAAGUGCACUAGAUGAUGUCCAAAGUAAAUUUUCUACAGUAACAGAACUAACAUUCUCAUUGUAUUUUUAAACAUUUACAAUAUUUUUUUUAUUCAUACAAUUCUAAGUAAACGUUUUGUAAACAAGCAGACUUUAUUAGUCAAUUACAGAAACCCAGGAGUAUUUUCACACCAAAAGCCCAGAAGCUCUGUUAAUAUCUCACAAGCCACACUUAAUUAUUAAAUAGCUAAAUAGUUUCAUUUCUCUGGUGCUUUCUUAAUCUGUUGACAUAGAAAAGCUGUUUCAAGAAAUCCUAUAUAUUGCAUAAGCAGCAAGUAGAAAUACAUAAGGAAGACAUACUGUAACUCAUUGAACUAUAUUUUUUUCAAAAUGUCAUUAUUAUCUUGGGUAGGUAUGAACCAAGAUUUGAAAAAAAACUAUUUUUUUCCUAUUUCUAGUCCUGGUUCCCUCCUUCCU